CGGGAAAAAGGUUUCGUAGUGACCGCUGGGUUAAGCUCGAGGGUUCCGGAGUGAAGGGCGCGAACAGUAAAGACCCGCUGAGUGAAAGCUUGUGGGUCCGUACGUGCACCCCCUGAGUAAACGAACACGGUGUCCGUGAGUGAACCAAAGACAACAACACGAUCCCCGCCAUCGAGGCCCCGGGAAGGGUGACUCUGCCUCGGCGGUCGCUUCAGGCUCGGUUUUUAGUAUGAAGAACGACUCUCGGCAACGGAUAUCUCGGCUCUCGCAUCGAUGAAGAACGUAGCGAAAUGCGAUACUUGGUGUGAAUUGCAGAAUCCCGUGAACCAUCGAGUCUUUGAACGCAAGUUGCGCCCGAAGCCAUCAGGUCGAGGGCACGUCUGCCUGGGCGUCACACGUCGUUGCCCCCCCGAACCCCCGUCCCGCUCCUAGCCGGGCGAGUGGGGACUGUGUGGGGGGGGCGGAUGAUGACCUCCCGUGCGUGCUUUGACCCGCGGUUGGUCCAAAAACCGAGUCCCCUGUCACGUCGUCUUGGCAACAGGUAGUCGAUCAUUCGGUGCCGCCGCCACGUGCGUCGGACACGGAUCGGGACUCCGACAGACCCCAAUGCGCCCGUCACGGGUGCCUCCAACGCGACCCCAGGUCAGGCGGGGCUACCCGCUGAGUUUAAGCAUAAGGAAG
rnacentral:rRNA from 1 species